rnacentral:rRNA from 1 species
CCUACGGGAGGCAGCAGUAGGGAAUCUUGCGCAAUGGGCGAAAGCCUGACGCAGCCAUGCCGCGUGAAUGAUGAAGGUCUUAGGAUUGUAAAAUUCUUUCACCGGGGAAGAUAAUGACGGUACCCGGAGAAGAAGCCCCGGCUAACUUCGUG